UACAUGGGGUGCAAACGUUGCUCGGAAUUAUUGGGCGUAAAGCGCGCGUAGGCGGUUACUCAAGUCGGAUGUGAAAGCCCUCGGCUUAACUGAGGAAGUGCACCCGAAACUGAGUAGCUAGAGUACUAAAGAGGGUCGCGGAAUUCCCGGUGUAGAGGUGAAAUUCGUAGAUAUCGGGAGGAACACCGGUGGCGAAGGCGGCGACCUGGGUAGAUACUGACGCUGAGGCACGAAAGCGUGGGGAUCAAACAGG
rnacentral:rRNA from 1 species